GGUGAGAUGGCCGAGUGGUCUAAGGCGCUAGAUUUAGGCUCUAGUACUUUCGAGUGCGUGGGUUCGAAUCCCACUCUCAUCA